rnacentral:rRNA from 1 species
AGUGAACGCUGGCGGUAGGCCUAACACAUGCAAGUCGAACGGCAGCACAGUAAGAGCUUGCUCUUACGGGUGGCGAGUGGCGGACGGGUGAGGAAUACAUCGGAAUCUACUUUUUCGUGGGGGAUAACGUAGGGAAACUUACGCUAAUACCGCAUACGACCUACGGGUGAAAGCAGGGGAUCUUCGGACCUUGCGCGAUUGAAUGAGCCGAUGUCGGAUUAGCUAGUUGGCGGGGUAAAGGCCCACCAAGUCGACGAUCCGUAGCUGGUCUGAGAGGAUGAUCAGCCACACUGGAACUGAGCCACGGUCCAGACUCCUACGGGAGGCAGCAGUGGGGAAUAUUGGCCAAUGGGCGCAAGCCUGAUCCAGCCAUACCGCGUGGGUGAAGAAGGCCUUCGGGUUGUAAAGCCCUUUUGUUGGGAAAGAAAAGCAGCAGGUUAAUACCCCGCUGUUCUGACGGUACCCAAAGAAUAAGCACCGGCUAACUUCGUG